AACGAACGCUGGCGGCAGGCUUAACACAUGCAAGUCGAACGCCCCGCCAGGGGAGUGGCAGACGGGUGAGUAACGCGUGGGAACAUACCCUUUUCUACGGAAUAGCUCUGGGAAACUGGAAUUAAUACCGUAUACGCCCUACGGGGGAAAGAUUUAUCGGGGAAGGAUUGGCCCGCGUUGGAUUAGCUAGUUGGUGGGGUAAAGGCCUACCAAGGCGACGAUCCAUAGCUGGUCUGAGAGGAUGAUCAGCCACAUUGGGACUGAGACACGGCCCAAACUCCUACGGGAGGCAGCAGUGGGGAAUAUUGGACAAUGGGCGCAAGCCUGAUCCAGCCAUGCCGCGUGAGUGAUGAAGGCCUUAGGGUUGUAAAGCUCUUUCACCGAUGAAGAUAAUGACGGUAGUCGGAGAAGAGGCCCCGGCUAACUUCGUG
rnacentral:rRNA from 1 species